rnacentral:rRNA from 1 species
AGCUUGCUCUCGGGUGACGAGUGGCGGACGGGUGAGUAAUGUCUGGGAAACUGCCUGAUGGAGGGGGAUAACUACUGGAAACGGUAGCUAAUACCGCAUAACGUCGCAAGACCAAAGAGGGGGACCUUCGGGCCUCUUGCCAUCAGAUGUGCCCAGAUGGGAUUAGCUAGUAGGUGGGGUAACGGCUCACCUAGGCGACGAUCCCUAGCUGGUCUGAGAGGAUGACCAGCCACACUGGAACUGAGACACGGUCCAGACUCCUACGGGAGGCAGCAGUGGGGAAUAUUGCACAAUGGGCGCAAGCCUGAUGCAGCCAUGCCGCGUGUAUGAAGAAGGCCUUCGGGUUGUAAAGUACUUUCAGCGGGGAGGAAGGUGUUGUGGUUAAUAACCGCAGCAAUUGACGUUACCCGCAGAAGAAGCACCGGCUAACUCCGUGCCAGCAGCCGCGGUAAUACGGAGGGUGCAAGCGUUAAUCGGAAUUACUGGGCGUAAAGCGCACGCAGGCGGUCUGUCAAGUCGGAUGUGAAAUCCCCGGGCUCAACCUGG